GGCGAGACGGCAGCGGUGCUCGAAGCCGGGAGACAGCGGCGGCUCAGACGCAACGAGCGUCCACGUUCUGAAUAUUGGCCAUUGGCUUUCAUGCCAAGGCUGACCAAGUGCAGAGGCUGCUGGGCACAGAAGAUCUCUAAGUAAAGGUGACUGGCAACUGCUAGCUUCUCGCUGGAGGCUAGGGCAAAUGCCACAGACAUCUCUGUGUACCCCGCAACUGCUUCUGGACAGAAUUACAGAGACUCACUGCCUCCACAUUCUUCCCAGUCACUUCUGAACCAGCUGUCAUCUGGAUCACCUCCCAUCCUGACAUGACUUAUGUACUGUCAAAUGCAUGGGGGCCUGGCAUGGUGGGGAACCGCCUGGCAUAGACCCCUUCCCCCCAAAAAAGUUUUCUCAGGCUCCUUUGUAAUUUUUCUCUCUUGGGCCUCCAUCCCCAAUUCUUAGGCAACCACUGAUCUGCUCUCUGUCACUACAGAUU